CAAAAAGGAGAGAGAGGCACAGGGAUCUCCUAUCAACUGACUUUCUCCAGCUACCACAAUACCUGGACUCCACUAGCCUAAGGCCUAGCACUGAGAACUCAAGCCAGAUAAGAUCCUGAAGACAUCUACAUGUACCCAAGACCAACAAAAAAGAAUAUAUUGCCAGUUUUGACUGUGGACUUCAGCCAGGAGGAGCAGCAGGACCUGGACAAUGCUCAGAAGAUCUUGUAUGGGAAUGUGAUACUGGAGAACUACAGCAUCCUGCUGUCCUUGGGUGAGGGAAACUCCCAAGCCACUCCCAUUUGACAAAGACUCCUUAUAUAGUUUAACAUUACCCAGAACCCCUUAUGUAGCCCCUACAUUUCCAGAUAAGAGAAAUCAUUGGGCUGGUGGAGCAACUGUUCUCAACAAUAAGUUGCAUAGUCCUCUGACCCAGGCCAAAUACAUUGCCAGUACCCAGGGGAUUCAUUAUAUAUUUUAUCAGGUCACAGGUGAAUAUAUAGGUGGUGAAACAUGAUUUAGUAGGCUAAUGGAAAGCUGAAGAGGGACCCAUGACCGAAUUUCUAAUUCUCACUUAAUGUCAAGUUCAGCAAUUCAUGUGUGUCUACUCAUGUCUACUCUUUAAAGGUUUUGAUCUUUUGUUAAACUAUAUCCAAUAACUGGAAGCUCAAAAUUUAAUGAGAUGCUCUAUUUUCUUUGUAAACAGCAAAAGUACUUUUAAAAGUUUCCUUAAAUGAAGUGAAAAGGAAGCAAAUUAAACUAUACUGGGUUGAAUAUUAUUUCACUC